CACUCAUGAAUAAUUACCUCAAUGUGGCCGAUUUGACGUGACAUCAUUGGUUUGCUUCAACAAAACAAGCACAUGAAAAAAUGGCACCUAUUCGAAAGCAGUCAGGAAAACGGCAAGAUGAAAGACAGCUCAAAGGAAGAAAAGGACUGAAGAUGAAUCAGUGGAAAGAGGACCAAAUGAAAGGUGCGCUAGAGGAGUAUAAAGUGCAGGUUGAAUCAGGGAAGAAACCUGUGGUACGAUUGCUUGCAAGGAAGUGGAAUUUGCCGAAAACAACUCUUCAAAGACGUUUGAAAGGACUUCUUGAGGGAUCUGAGUGUGAAUCUGGAAGAACACCAUUCAUUCCUGUUGAAUCUGAGUUGGGAAAACUGGCACCCAACCGAGAACAGCAAGAUGAAAGCCAUCUCAAAGGAAGAAAAGGAUUGACGAUGAAUCUUUGGAAAGAAGACCAAAUGAAAGGUGCGCUAGAGGAGUAUAAAGUGCAGGUUGAAUCAGGGAAGAAACCUGUGGUACGAUUGCUUGCAAGAAAGUGGAAUUUGCCGAAAACAACUCUUCAAAGACGUUUGAAAGGACUUGUUGAGGGCUCUGAACAUGCAUCUGGAAGAAAACCAUUCAUUCCUAUUGAAUCUGAGCGGGAGUUAGCAAACCUUCUCACCUCACUUCUAGAGAGAGGCUUCCUGUUGAGGAAGACUGAUGUUCAGUCUCUUGCUUUUGAGUUUGCCAAAAUAAAUGGCAUACAAGGGUUUUCAGAAGACAAGCAGAAGGCAGGCUAUUACUGGUUUGAGGGCUUUAUGAAGCGAAACCCUGGGCUGCAAAUAAAGAAACCAGAAGCCAUAUCACCAGCUACAAAAAUGAAUGAAAAGGAACUGAGUAGCUGGUUUAGAAUGUACAAAGUCACCCUUGAUGCAUUGGGAAUUAAGGACAUACCUUCACAUAUCUGGAAGUGUGAUUUAUCAGAACUACAAGACAUCUUUUUGUCUGAGCAAUAUGUCAAUAAAGGAGAAGACCCUUGCUUUCAGAUCAACAGUGAUGGGGAAACUGAUGAGGUUUCUGCUGUAUUAGCAGCAUUCAAUGCCUGUGGUACAUUUGCUCCUCCACUCAUCAUUUUUAAAGGAAGCGUGGUGAGAAAUGAGUGGUUGAACGCGUCUCUUGAAAACAUGUGCAUGAAAGCAUCAGAGAGUGGCUGGAUAACUGCAGAGAUGUUUAAUGAGUGGGGUGAAAUGUUUGUGGCACAGCUCCCGAAAGAUGACGCCAGGCCCCAUCUUCUGCUCCUCGAUGGCCAGAGCCGCUAUGUCUUUAACCUCAGCUUUCUCAGUCUCAUGAACCAGAACAAUGUGGAAGUCAUAUGCUAUCCUGCAUUGCAACAGUCAAGCCAAGCUCUGUUUCAAAGUCUCAAACACAACUGGUGUGAAGUGAGCACCAAUCAGUGGAAUCAUCAACAUGAAGACAUGAAGUUGCCCAAAGCUCAUUAUUGUUCUGUUUUUAUGGAAACAUGGAAAAAAACUGCCACUGUGGAAAGAGCUCAGGAUGGGUUCAGGACAAUGGGGAUGUUCCCAAUAAAUGAGUUUGCCUCCAUUGAGUAUGAAAUUUCUCCUUCCAAGCUGGAGGGUUUCACAGCGUCUGUUGAAGAUGAAGCACAUUGCAGUACUGAAGGUGGCCUGGAUGAAUCUCCAGCUGCUGAAGUGGCUUCAUUCAAAGACUUUGUCAGAGUUCAAAAAGGCAGCAAAAAAAUGGCACCUAACCGAAGGCAGUCAGGAAUACAACAAGAUGAAAUACAACUCAAAGGAAGAAAAGGACUGAAGAUGAAUCUGUGGAAAGAAGACCAAAUGAAAGGUGCGAUAGAGGAGUAUAAAGUGCAGGUUGAAUCGGGGAAGAAACCUGCAGUACGAUUGCUUGCAAGGAAGUGGAACUUACCGAAAACAACUCUUCAAAGACGUGUGAAAGGACUUGUUAAAGGAUCUGUGCAUGCAUCUGGAAGAAAACCAUUCAUUCCUAUUGAAUCUGAGCGGGAGUUAGCAAACCUUCUCACCUCACUUCUAGAGAGAGGCUUCCUGUUGAGGAAGACUGAUGUUCAGUCUCUUGCUUUUGAGUUUGCCAAAAUAAAUGGCAUACAAGGGUUUUCAGAAGACAAGCAGAAGGCAGGCUAUUACUGGUUUGAGGGUUUUAUGAAGCGAAACCCUGGGCUGCAAAUAAAGAAACCAGAAGCCAUAUCACCAGCUACAAAAAUGAAUGAAAAGGAACUGAGUAGCUGGUUUAGAAUGUACAAAGUCACCCUUGAUGCAUUGGGAAUUAAGGACAUACCUUCACAUAUCUGGAAGUGUGAUUUAUCAGAACUACAAGACAUAUUUUUGUCUGAGCGAUAUGUCAAUAAAGGAGAAGACCCUUGCUUUCAGAUCAACAGUGAAUGGGAAACUGAAGAGGUUUCUGCUGUAUUAGCAGCAUUCAAUGCCUGUGGUACAUUUGCUCCUCCACUCAUCAUUUUUAAAGGAAGCGUGGUGAGAAAUGAGUGGUUGAACGCGUCUCUUGAAAACAUGUGCAUGAGAGCAUCAGAGAGUGGCUGGAUAACUGCAGAGAUGUUUAAUGAGUGGGGUGAAAUGUUUGUGGCACAGCUCCCGAAAGAUGACGCCAGGCCCCAUCUUCUGCUCCUCGAUGGCCAGAGCCGCUAUGUCUUUAACCUCAGCUUUCUCAGUCUCAUGAACCAGAACCAUGUGGAAGUCAUAUGCUAUCCUGCAUUGCAACAGUCAAGCCAAGCUCUGUUUCAAAGUCUCAAACACAACUGGUGUGAAGUGAGCACCAAUCAGUGGAAUCAUCAACAUGAAGACAUGAAGUUGCCCAAAGCUCAUUAUUGUUCUGUUUUUAUGGAAUCAUGGAAGAAAACUGCCACUGUGGAAAGAGCUCAAGAUGGGUUCAGGACAAUGGGGAUGUUCCCAAUCAAUGAGUUUGCCUCCAUUGAGCAUGAACUUCCUUCUUCCACCCUGGAGGGUUUCACAGCGCCUGUUGAAGAUGAAGCACAUUGCAGUACUCAGAGUGGCCUGGAUGAACCUCCAGCUGCUGAAGUGGCUGUCAAUGUUCAAACAACCAGCAAUAAAAUGGCACCUAACCUAACCGAAAAGUCAGGAAUACAACAAGAUGAAAGACAUCUCAAAGGAAGAAAAGGACUGAAGAUGAAUCUGUGGAAAGAAGACCAAAUGAAAGGUGCGCUAGAGGAGUAUAAAGUGCAGGUUGAAUCAGGGAAGAAACCUGUAGUACGAUUGCUUGCAAGAAAGUGGAAUUUGCCGAAAACAACUCUUCAAAGACGUUUGAAAGGACUUGUUGAGGGCUCUGAACAUGCAUCUGGAAGAAAACCAUUCAUUCCUGUUGAAUCUGAGCGGGAGUUAGCAAACCUUCUCACCUCACUUCUAGAGAGAGGCUUCCUGUUGAGGAAGACUGAUGUUCAGUCUCUUGCUUUUGAGUUUGCCAAAAUAAAUGGCAUACAAGGGUUUUCAGAAGACAAGCAGAAGGCAGGCUAUUACUGGUUUGAGGGUUUUAUGAAGCGAAACCCUGGGCUGCAAAUAAAGAAACCAGAAGCCAUAUCACCAGCCACAAAAAUGAAUGAAAAGGAACUGAGUAGCUGGUUUAGAAUGUACAAAGUCACCCUUGAUGCAUUGGGAAUUAAGGACAUACCUUCACAUAUCUGGAAGUGUGAUUUAUCAGAACUACAAGACAUCUUUUUGUCUGAGCAAUAUGUCAAUAAAGGAGAAGACCCUUGCUUUCAGAUCAACACUGAAGGGGAAACUGAUGAGGUUUCUGCUGUAUUAGCAGCAUUCAAUGCCUGUGGUACAUUUGCUCCUCCACUCAUCAUUUUUAAAGGAAGCGUGGUGAGAAAUGAGUGGUUGAACGCGUCUCUUGAAAACAUGUGCAUGAAAGCAUCAGAGAGUGGCUGGAUAACUGCAGAGAUGUUUAAUGAGUGGGGUGAAAUGUUUGUGGCACAGCUCCCGAAAGAUGACGCCAGGCCCCAUCUUCUGCUCCUCGAUGGCCAGAGCCGCUAUGUCUUUAACCUCAGCUUUCUCAGUCUCAUGAACCAGAACAAUGUGGAAGUCAUAUGCUAUCCUGCAUUGCAACAAUCAAGCCAAGCUCUGUUUCAAAGUCUCAAACACCACUGGUGUGAAGUGAGCACCAAUCAGUGGAAUCAUCUACAUGAAGACAUGAAGUUGCCCAAAGCUCAUUAUUGUUCUGUUUUUAUGGAAUCAUGGAAGAAAACUGCCACUGUGGAAAGAGCUCAGGAUGGGUUCAGGACAAUGGGGAUGUUCCCAAUAAAUGAGUUUGCCUCCAUUGAGUAUGAACUUCCUUCUUCCAGCCUGGAAGGUUUUACAGCGUCUGCUGAAGAUGAAGCACAUUGCAGCACUGAAAGUGGCUUGAAUCAACCAGCAGCUGCUGAAGUAUCUUCAUUCAAAGACUUUGUUCUUGUACAAAAUAGUAGAUGGGUAAAGUCACCCAGAGGCAACACUAUGCCAUAUUUGCAAGAAAAUUUACAAGACCUUUUUUACAAUGAACAUUUAAAACAAAUACGAAAGACCACCUCCUACAAUUGCGGUGGCUGUCUAAUAAAACAUGGCACAGAUGAUGAUCCGAAAGCUUCUGAAGCGUGGAUCAGAUGCACCAACUGUAAGGCCUGCUAUCACGAGUCUUGUGCAGAAGAGGAUGGGAUAUAUGAAUGGGUUUCUGUUGUCGAUCACUAAAACUAAAGCACAGACGAAAAAUAACAGAGAAAAGAAGUGUUUGAAUUUAUAUUUACUGACAAAAAUAGAUUUUUGAUCUGAUAUUUGGACUAAGCAGGCUGGAAAAUCUGAGAAAAUUAUGGGAAAAAUUAUAAAUGGAGUGUCACCCACAGCAAGGUUUUUAUUUGUUUUAAAUUAAAUAUGCCAUCUCUUCAAAGUUUUAUUAAUCCAUGGACUGAGUUACUGUUUUGUGUACUUUAUUUAAAAACUAUUCAUUGAAAAUGUAUAUGAAUGUUCAGAGGUCACAAGGCUCGUCUGUAUUUCUGCAUAUACGUGCAGAGUAAAUUGGUACAAUAUUGCAUGCAAUUUAUGGUCACCUAAUGGUGCAGAUCUUUUACAAGCAAUGAUCCUUGUUCUCAACCAUUAUCCUCAUCUGAAGAUUGAAAGCCCUUUUGACUUAAAGAUUAUUUUCUCUUCACACAAAAUACACUGUAACCUCACAUAUCAGAGUUAGAUUUUUCAACAACCCCGUUAAAAUUAGGUUUUGAUUUUAGCUAGUGUAAAGGUAGCAAAUUAAAAACUCAAAUUUACAUAGUCACUAUACAUCAAUCAUGCUUUCUCGAUAUUCAGUCGAUUUGUAAAUAAUAAGGACUUCAUAAUUUUGUCAGCUUUGAUGGUAUUAGUAGUAAAGAAUCUUGCCCUUUGUCGUUGUUCCUAGGGUUAGUAGUGGGACUUUUAUUUUGACUUGCAUCGGAAGUAGAAAUUUUUUACGUUCGUAGUUGUUUCCGCGUUCACGCCGUGCGCAUUUGCCGUGCUGUUUGAUCGUGUUUCACUUCUUGCGACGUAAAGGAUUUUUACUCGAGGGUUGGAAAUAAGAAGAAAAAAUACGUGUUUCAUUCUGGAGGAGCUCUUUUCUCGAUCCAGGCUUAAAUCGACGGAUUGUCCUUUUGGGGACUUUUUGAUUUACUUUAUUCCUCUCUUUUUCCACUCAUCUGGAGCACCGU